UACGGAGGAUCCAAGCGUUAUCCGGAAUCAUUGGGUUUAAAGGGUCCGUAGGCGGUCUAAUAAGUCAGUGGUGAAAUCCCUACGCUUAACGUAGGAACGGCCAUUGAUACUGUUAGACUUGAAUUAUUAGGAAGUAACUAGAAUAUGUAGUGUAGCGGUGAAAUGCUUAGAUAUUACAUGGAAUACCAAUUGCGAAGGCAGGUUACUAACAAUUUAUUGACGCUGAUGGACGAAAGCGUGGGUAGCGAACAGG
rnacentral:rRNA from 1 species